rnacentral:rRNA from 1 species
GACGAACGCUGGCGGCAUGCCUAAUACAUGCAAGUCGAACGAUGAUAUCACUGCUUGCAGUGAUUGAUUAGUGGCGAACGGGUGAGUAACACGUGAGGAACUUGCCCAUGAGCGGGGGACAACAUUCGGAAACGGAUGCUAAUACCCCAUAGGUGGAUUGGUCGCAUGACGAAUUCAUUAAAGGUGGCUCUGCUACCACUCAUGGAUAGCCUCGCGGCGUAUUAGCUAGUUGGUAAGGUAAUGGCUUACCAAGGCAGUGAUACGUAGCCGACUUGAGAGGGUGAUCGGCCACACUGGGACUGAGACACGGCCCAGACUCCUACGGGAGGCAGCAGUAGGGAAUCUUCCACAAUGGGUGCAAACCUGAUGGAGCAAUGCCGCGUGAGUGAAGAAGGUCUUCGGAUCGUAAAGCUCUGUUGUUAGAGAAGAACACGUGCUAGGUAACUACUAGCGCCUUGACGGUAGCUAACCAGAAAGUCACGGCUAACUACGUG